AUCGCAAAGUAAACAGAAAGAAGAAAUCAAUCAGGACAACAAACACGCCUUUCGUGUUUCGACUGUGGUUUGGCUAUUUAUUUGAGUCGGUCAACCUCGUCAAGCAGUGAGGGCUGUUCACUGCAGAACAGGAUUGAAGUCAGUUGACAUUUGUGCUGAUAUCAUGAAAACAAGACGUUAUUGGAGUGCAUAGGAUAAUGCACAAACACCCCUCUUAUCACUUUCUAUUAAGUGAAACCAAGGUACGGCACAUCCUAUCAUUCCUGUCUCUACUUGCAAGCAUUGUCUGGUUCUUAAGUGGUGCCAGUGCGCAGGGUUUAGAGCAGGGCAUUGUGAUAAACGUCACCAGCGGUAAAUCAAUCGUCGUAGAAGAAUGGGGGAAUUUGACAAUCACUGCACUCUGCGAAUCUAUUCCGAAUGCAUCUCACAAAAUGUUGAUCAGGAACGAUGCUUUCGUGGUGCCAUCUUUGGUAAACUGCACGUGUCACAUAACGCAGCCGAGCUGCACAUUUACGAUCAGAAAUGUGGAUCGCAGCCACUCUGGCAAUUAUUCAAUCUACGUCAACAAUACGCAAGGAGAACACAAGAGUAUCAUUACCCAUGUUAAUGUACAAUACGCCCCGAUCUGCAUCUGGCUCCAACCCCAGCAGAUGUCCGUCAUAGAGGACGAGAGAGUGACCUUCGAUGUAUCCGUACCGGUGCCGAACCCCCCUGUCUCCUCCGUCCAGUGGCUGUAUCAGGGCAGCCCCAUCAACAUCACCAACCCCAGAUACAGUGGCGGCACAGUCGCCACACCACCUCUUACUAUAGGCCCAGCAGUCAGGAGCGACGCCGGGGUGUACAACUUCACGGCUAGCAACAUCAUCGGGGGGCUCACACAAUCAAACUGCACUACCAAUCUCACUGUUUACUAUGGUCCUGAUCUAGACUGCGUGGGCCCACAAACUGUAACAAUCAAUGAGACGGACAGUUAUACAUUUGCAAUUGAUGUUACGUCUUAUCCGAUCUUAUCACGUGUCGACUGGUUCAAGGGGGGAAACCUUGUAGACAGAAGUGACACACGUUUCGUCCAUGGUAACGUCUCCAGUCCGUCCUUAACGCUGAACAACGCUAACCGUAACGACACCGGGCGCUACAGCGUCAACGUCACAAGCGACGUCACUCGACGUUUUGUUUACGGUUGUUUUACCAACCUUACAGUUCAAUACCGACCAAGCUGUCAGCUCCUACUUCCACCUCAAUAUGACAUCACUGAAGGUAGCAGCAUUACAAUCAACGUCACAGUGAUGUCGUUACCUUCUCCAACGUUUGUGGGCUGGAACCUGAACGGCACCGCCAUCGCCAGAAACAACUCUCACUACAGUGGCGGUAACGUUACAGUCCCAUCCCUUACCAUAAGCGACAUACGGCGAAAUGACACUGGGUUUUACUCCAUACAAAUCAACAAUGUCGUGGGCGGAGUUGUAGAUAACUGCCGGGUCUUCGUCCGAGUCCUCUAUCGCCCUGAGUGCAUUAUCCUGUCAAACACCUCCUUAUGGGUCAACGAACAUUCUUCCCUAACAAUCCACGCCGCCAUCGACGCCGUCACGCCACCGACCGUGGUCGACUGGAAACUCAACAACACCCCUGUCAGUAGGACCGGGGGUCGGUACACUGGAGGCAACAGCUACCAGAACCCAUCGUUGAACAUUUCGGGUAUCACACGUGGAGAAGCGGGUACAUACACCCUGACUGCUUCGAACGCCGUCGGAAACGUUGUGAACGAGUCGAACUGCAACGUCAAUGUUGCCGUACAAUAUCUGGACAAUUGCCCCGACCGCAUCUAUUCGGCGUGUGAAAAUGGAUCACAAAUCCUUAAUUGUUCGGUGAGAUUUCUGCCAUCUUUGAACACUGUGACGUGGAGAAAGAACGGGGCUGUACUGGAUGUGUCCAGUCCCCGCUACGGCGGUGGAACUGUAUCUUCACCUGAUCUCACAAUUUCCUCUGUUCUGCCAAGUGAUGAUGAUGUCUACACCUGCGAAGUAGAGAACGUCGUUGGUGUAGCUGGAUGCCAGAUUACAUUGAACGUCUUCACUCGACCCACCGUCUUCGUGUCACUCAGGAACAUAAUGUUGGUGGAGGGACAAACCUCUUCCAUAGGCUGCUCCGUGGACAUGCGCGUGAAACCAAAUCCCGCCGUCGUUCACUGGUUUAAAGAUGGCAUCAAUCUCAACUCUCCCUCUGGUCGGUAUGGUGACGGGGAUCUAAACAAUCCCAGUUUAAGAAUCUCCGAUAUCAAGCGCCAGGAUGCAGGGUCGUACACGUGUGGAGCAGUCAACGGUGUCGGCGACAGUCACUCUGACGACAUUACUGUCACGGUGGAAUAUCCGCCAACGGUCGUGGUAAAAUACAAUAACUACGGUUUCCACGAGGGAUCUGACACAACGUUGUGGUGCUAUGUCAACUCAUACCCUCUCGUGUCUCCAUCAAACAUCACGUGGGUGCGUGAUGGGCAGUUUGUUAUACCCAGCACGUCCUGUAGUGACGUCAGACCCAACUUGCGGAUGUGCAAAGUGGACACGAAUACGGCUGGAAGAUACAUCUGUAGAGCCCGCCAUCGACUGGCAUCUGUUGGUAGCGAUAUCAUUACUGUACACAUCAGAGAUGUGUGUCCUACAGUCGUUUACGAAAAUGUUACCCUAGAUGAUUCCACAAGUACAAGCUCGGGGUGUAUCAGCGGUCGUCUCAAGGUCCAGCUGAAAGGAACGUCAUCUAGCGGCACUGUCUGUGGUAAGACAUGGACCUCGGCGGAAACGGGAGUUGUCUGUGGCAUGAUGGGAUACAGGUAUGGCGGUCAUUGGAUGAGGGGUGGAGGCGGGGGACCAAUACAUCUCGGUGACGUCACUUGUUUAACAGGGGCGACAACUCUAAAUCAAUGUCGACUUUCCUCCAUUUCAAACUGUACUCACGACAAUGACAUCUGGCUAAUGUGUUGUCAUAUAAGAGUGACGUCUCCAGCUGCGGCGGUGCUAACGACCACAGCAAUCCCAACAACCCCAUCAACCUCAUCAACCCCAACAACCCCAACAGCAGGAUCGACUUGCCAGUGCUGGGAUGAAGUGACCUCUCUCAAAAUGAUUGUGAUUGUCCUCGGUAUCGUUAUCGGCUGCCUGAUUAUCGCUAUAGUCGUCAUGUGCUGCGGGUGGUGCGGGUGGUGCGGGUGGUGCGGGUGCUGUUCAUGCUUCUCGAAGUGGCCCUGUGGAGGUGGAACGAAAUGGGGUGAUUGUCGUCGUAACAACGUUGGCGAGGGUGGUUACGAGAGUGGGCCUGGCUGUCUAUGUACUCACAAGCCACACUGUAGCUGUAAAGGAAAGAAGACAAAAGGACAAAAAACGCAAACUCCACCAACAAACCAAUGGUCAAAACCCACAGACCCAAUUUUACAGAAACCCAGGCCAGAUACAAAGCGCCGUAAGCUACAGAAACCCAGGCCAGACCCAGAGCCCCUUAAGUGUAGCGACUCAUCAAGAAGUGGCAGUGAGGAUGAAUACAACAAGCGUGAACAUAAAGAAAGAAUGCCGGCGUCACCCAGUUCGAGUUACUCGCACGUUGAAGAGAUAUCUACACACCCCGUGGACAACACACACACUUCAAAAGAUGACAAUCGUGAUCUGAUGUCUCCACCUCUCAAAAAAGAUGGUUCUAGCUCAACUGGCGGAGACCGUAAGGCAAAGAAGCCAUGGCAACGACCGAUAACUGAGAAUGGUUUGCCAAGUGUGGAAGAAGAUGACCGCCCAACAACAGGUUCUUCUGAUUCGAAAGAAAGAACGAUGGGUCAUAACUUGCCCGCGGAUGAUGAUGUGAAUAACGCAAUCAACGGUGUUCUGCCGAGAGAGAAGAAAGUCAAAAAGAAGAGGAACAAAUUAAAAUCGAGGAGACACGAGGCAUUGAUAGAUGCCUCAUUCCCAGAUGUCAUUCUGCGUGAUGAUCGAAAGUAUAGCGCCAUGGAGGACUCAAAUGCCUGAUUCACCUUUAUAUAAAUGUCAUCGCAUCCCAGCUGUGUGGAUCGAUGCUCACAAUGUCAAUCACUGGAUUGUCUGGUCGAGACUCGAUUAUUUAUAGACCGCCGUCAUGUAGCUGGAGUGCGGCGUUAAACAACAAACAAACAAACAAACAAAUUAUAUAAAUGUAGAGGGGUUGCAUCGGACAUUAUUAAUAUAUCCGAAGUUGGAACAAAUGAUUAUUUUGGGGGAAUCGACGAAGCUGAAACCUUAUAUGAAAAGGUAAAAAAUGAAAGAUAUGUAAAUAUUAAGAUAAACAUCCUCCCUAUAAAACAAAGAAACUGUGAAUGAUACCAGGUAGUUUUUGUUAAGUGAGUGAGUGAGUGAGUGAGGUUUUACGCCGCUUUUAGCAAUAUUCCAACAAUUUCACGGCGAGGGACACCAGAAAUGGGCUUCACACAUUGUACCCAUGUCGGGAAUCGAACCCGGGUCUUCGUCGUGACUAGCGAACGCUUUAACCACUAGGCUACCCGACCGCUUCAGUUUUUGUUAAGACAUCUUGGGUUUCGUGAUCAACGUAUGCUUCUUUCCUAUAAUUUUAUGAUGAAACAUAACAUUGACAUAUUGUACAACGCAACUAUUUCAAAGUCUUUUGCCAAACAGUCAAAUAAAACUCUAGCGUAAGUUCACUGCAGUCGCUUUGGUAGCACUGAAGUCGGUUGUACAAAAACAAACCAGAUCAAAAUUAAAACAAAUCAUUGUUCAGAAAGUUAAUUAAAACCAUACUUUAGACAACUAGGAAGCCAAUCUAGACCAGCUUACUUGAGAUCAGACCCGUGAAGAUUCCGGGGUAGAAUAGGUCUUCAGCAACCCAUGCUUGUCGUAAAAGGUGACUAUGCUUGUCGUAAGAGGCGACUAACGGGAUCGGGUGGUCAGGCUCGCUGACUUGGU